UGUAUUUCUAUUUGUAUUACACAACUUGUGUAUGACAAAGACUUACAGAUGGAUACAGAAAUAUAAAUCCUUUCACAACCAAGAACUCAUUGUUCAUUAUGAAUGAGUUUUGAUACAUGUAAGAAGGAAUAUG